GAUUUUUGAUAGCAGGGAUUUCUCCCCUCUGGAGGCCAGGAUGAAAUCUAGCACAGUGAGCUUCUUCGGGGGACCCUCCCAAAGGACUCAGCUCUGCGCCCAGGAGAGCGUUGCCACUGGUUGCAAUAGGAGCUUUCUGUGUGGGUGUCCGAAGGGGCUUGUCUUCCUCCUCUGCCUCUGCCUCUGCGGAUUGCCUCGCAUCGCAUUAGCCCCGCGCUGGUGAACGUGCGGGACCCGCGCUCUUCCAUGACGUGAUGGGAUUGCCUGGACUCAAGGAAAUUUAACCUCCCCCCCCCCCCCCGCACCCCCCAUGAAAUUCCGGGCCACGGUGUGAGAUAGGAUUAGAAGUAUAUCAUUAUAGCAAUUAAUACUAUAAUGCCUCCAUGAUUAGUGUGCUACAUUGAAUUUCAUGGAUUUUUGCUCACUGUUGCCUAGAUUUCCCUUGGGUCCUCUAGACCAAACCAUUGUAUUCUUAGUAAAUUAAAUGUGAAAUCGCAGCAAUAUACUUAAUAAAUCCGCUAUAACCUCUAUAGCAUAUUAA